GACCGGUCACACCUAGCCAAGUUCUAGAAGGUUUCCUUCAAAUGUGCUUUCUACACUACCCUAUCUACUAAGUACCCCUAUUGGGCCUUCAUGUACCAAUUACAAGGCUUUCCCAAACCGUAGCUUGAUCCAUGUGUGGUGAGCUAGACGGUCCUUCUAGAUGCUCCUUAUGUAGCCACUCCCCCAUCAUGGCCUAGACGCUCCAUAUCUU
rnacentral:lncRNA from 1 species